CGCAACGAAGGGAGGGGAGCCCGCCACCACCUACGUCGUCCGGGCGUUGCCCAGCGGCGCGAGCCGGCGGGUCAGGGGAAAGGGAGCGGGCUGGGCGAGAAGAGGGGGAUUUUUCAUCCUCUCAUUGUUGUACAAUCAGGGCCUAAUGGCAAUUGAAAUCUCUUCUAUUGAACUCUUACAUGUAUCUUCCUAAUCUAUAAUCUAAAGGCAGAGGUCAUGCCUGUUUAGCUUAAUUAAAAGACAGAUAAGAAGUGACGGAACUUUAUGUGCUUUGAUUAAGAAGUGAAACAUUAUUCUUUGCACCUUUUGUGAUCUUGGCAUGCACCAAGAAGGGACGAUACUGUUGCAAAUUCUUCUUACAGAUCUGCAGGGCUCAAGAUCGGAACGGUAGCUCCUGUGAGGGUGCAUGAGAGAAAGAGAACCUCAGCCCAAUAAGGAGUUUCUAGGCUCGCCACAAGUUCGUGUCAAGCUCAAGCUUUGACCAAGCCGAGUCCAAGUCCAAUUAUUUAUGCCUAGACGAGCCUAACAUCUCGGGCAAUGAGGUGGCGCGGAUCGGUUUGUUUCCAACCCAAGGAGCACCGUCUCACCAUGCAGUCAAUGCUUAGAGGGUGUUUGGAUACGUUUUAGUUCCAUGACUAAAAGUAGUGAGACUAAAACUUGCUAGCCUCAUCCAUGCUUGGAUCCAAGUACUAAAGAGACUAAAAUCAAGUUAAUGAGCAUUUAUUAUCCUCCAAACCCUCCAAUCCAGAACUUGCAUAAGGAGUUAAAUGAGGAGAGAGAGGACUAAUGCACAUUUUAGUAGGGGUACCCUUGACUAAAAGAUUUUAGCCUCAAGACUAGUUUUAGCCUCUCUUUAGUCAGGGGUGCUUGGAACUUUAGCCUCUUAAGGAGACUAGUUUUAGUCAGACUAGUUUUAGUCUCUUGGAUCCAAGCACCCUCUUAGCUUUGUUUUUUCGUAUGGUGGGACUAGUGACGGUAGCUACAUUUUCCCCAAUGCCUCUCAAUCCCAUUACCAUUCACCUCACGUGGGAAGUAGAUCUUGAAUCCAUAUGCCAUACGAGAAGAACAAAGGAGGAUGUACAUGAUACCGUGGUGUCUAGGGUAGUAAUUGUUGCAUGCAUUGCAAGAGAUGGU
rnacentral:lncRNA from 1 species